rnacentral:rRNA from 1 species
GAAUUCGCCCUUAGAGUUUGAUCCUGGCUCAGGAUGAACGCUGGCGGCGUGCCUAACACAUGCAAGUCGAGGGGCUCGUUGUAGCAAUACGGCGAGCCACUGGCGCACGGGUGAGUAACACGUAGGUAAUCUACCCCCAACUCAGGCAUAACACUUCUAACGAGGUGCUAAUACCUGAUGAGGAGGCAGCUCCAAAGACCUUCGGGUCGGUUGGGGAUGAGCCUGCGUCCGAUUAGGUAGUUGGUAGGGUAAUGGCCUACCAAGCCGACGAUCGGUAGCUGGCCUGAGAGGGUGGUCAGCCACACUGGGACUGGGACACGGCCCAGACUCCUACGGGAGGCAGCAGUGAGGAAUAUUGGGCAAUGGGCGCAAGCCUGACCCAGCGACGCCGCGUGUGGGAUGACAGGGCUAUGCCUUGUAAACCACUGUCGGGUGGGACGAAAAGCGAGCUACGGCUCGCCGGGACGGUACCACCAAAGGAAGGGUCGGCUAACUACGUGCCAGCAGCCGCGGUAAUACGUAGGACCCAAGCGUUAUCCGGAUUCACUGGGUGUAAAGGGUGUGUAGGCGGGCGUGCGCGUCCGGGGUGAAAGGUUCCGGCUCAACCGGAAACAUGCCUUGGAUACGGCACGUCUUGAGUGCGGGAGAGGACGGUGGAAUUCCUGGUGUAGCGGUGAAAUGCGUAGAUAUCAGGAGGAACACCAGUGGCGAAGGCGGCCGUCUGGCCCGCAACUGACGCUGAAACACGAAAGCGUGGGGAUCAAACAGGAUUAGAUACCCUGGUAGUCCACGCCCUAAACGAUGCAUGCUUGGUGUCGGCGCCUUGUGCGUCGGUGCCGUAGGUAACCCAGUAAGCAUGCCACCUGGGAAGUACGGUCGCAAGGCUGAAACUCAAAUGAAUUGACGGGGGCAAGGGCGAAUUC